rnacentral:rRNA from 1 species
CCUACGGGUGGCAGCAGUGAGGAAUAUUGGUCAAUGGCCGGAAGGCUGAACCAGCCAAGCCGCGUGAAGGACGAAGGUGCCAAGCAUUGUAAACUUCUUUUGUCAAGGGACAAAAUCAGGCUCGAGAGCCUGACCGAGGGUACUUGAAGAAAAAGCAUCGGCUAACUCCGUGCCAGCAGCCGCGGUAAUACGGAGGAUGCGGGCGUUAUCCGGAUUUAUUGGGUUUAAAGGGUGCGUAGGCGGCCUGUUAAGGCAGCGGUAAAAGCCCGGGGCUCAACCCCGGCGAGCCGUUGAAACUGAAUGUCGUGAGAUGGCGAGAGGCAUGCGGAAUGCGAGGUGUAGCGGUGAAAUGCUUAGAUAUGGCGAAGAACUCCGAUUGUGAAGGCAGCAUACCGGCGGCGAUCUGACGCUGAGGCACGAAAGCGCGGGUAUCGAACAGGAUUAGAUACCCGGGUAGUC